AAGGGGUCUAGAUCGCCUGGGUCCCUGGCGCUCCUGGGGAAUGUCUGCUGAAGAGAAGAGCCCUGAUUCCUGGCCAGCUGGACUGCAGGUGAAGAGCCCCCCAUAUACCUUCCACUCCAGCCUGGAGAUGCAGGGGACUCCUCCCUCCAGCCCCAAGCUGGUGAUCCUGACUCUGGGGGCGGUCGCAGUCCUCACCAUCAGCAUCAUAGGGGUCCUUGUGGCAACAUAUCUCGGGCGAACUACCUGCCUCCAGCGAGAUGCCUACGGCUACCUGCCUACGCAGGUGAACGUCCAGAACGAAGCGUCGCUGCUCCUGGCUCUCAGCGAACUGGGAGAACAGGGCGUUGCGCCAGGGAUAACCUGUGACCUAAGAAAUCACCUGAUGGUGUAUCACGGGCAGCCAGAAGGGUGCGUGGCCCGGAAGAUGGAACCCUCCGACCAGCUGCCAUCCUGCCAGGAGCUGGAAAGCUACUUCCAGGCUGUAUUGAGAAACGCCACACUGGGGAUUACCUCGGAUGUUCAGAGCAUGGGGACUGGCUCCCUGGGCAGCCUGACCACCCUGCUUUGCAGCAACAAACCCACGUAUUUGAUCACAGCCUUUGCACCUUCCCCCAGGCAUCACAUAAGCAUGGCUGCUUAGCAAGCCCACGGCUCAUGCAGGGAACACCAGACUGCAAAUCCAGCUGUCCCGACUUACUGUAUUAAUUCCAACUGCAUCCAUCUGGGAUGGCCACGCACACGUCAGAGUUUCUAGCCUUGGGUUCUAUCUUUCGGGGGAGAACCGACAACUAACAAGUGUGGGAUUCUGUAUCACUGCUUUGCCCGAGAUAAUCAGUAGCAAUAAAAUACAGAGAUGUGACA
rnacentral:lncRNA from 1 species